CGGGUAAGUUCCGACCCGCACGAAAGGCGUAACGAUUUGGGCACUGUCUCAACAACAGACUCGGUGAAAUUGUAAUUCCGGUGAAGAUGCCGGAUACCUGCGACAGGACGGAAAGACCCCAUGGAGCUUUACUGUAGCUUGACAUUGGGGCUUGGUACUACAUGUACAGGAUAGGUGGGAGGCUUUGAAACCAGGACGCCAGUUUUGGCGGAGCCAUCCUUGGGAUACCACCCUUGUAGUACUGGGACUCUAACCAUAG
rnacentral:rRNA from 1 species